CCUACGGGGGGCAGCAGUGGGGAAUAUUGCACAAUGGGGGAAACCCUGAUGCAGCGACGCCGCGUGAGUGAAGAAGUAUUUCGGUAUGUAAAGCUCUAUCAGCAGGGAAGAAAAUGACGGUACCUGAGUAAGAAGGCCCGGCUAACUACGGGCCAGCAGCCGCGGUAAUACGUAGGGGGCCAGCGUUAUCCGGAUGUACUGGGUGUAAAGGGAGCGUAGACGGCAGUGCAAGUCUGGAGUGAAAGGCGGGGGCUCAACCCCCGGACUGCUCUGGAAACUGUACGGCUGGAGUGCAGGAGAGGUAAGUGGAAUUCCUAGUGUAGCGGUGAAAUGCGUAGAUAUUAGGAGGAACACCAGUGGCGAAGGCGGCUUACUGGACUGUAACUGACGUUGAGGCUCGAAAGCGUGGGGAGCAAACAGGAUUAGAUACCCGAGUAGUC
rnacentral:rRNA from 1 species